rnacentral:rRNA from 1 species
CAGUAGCCGCGGUAAUACGUAGGGUGCGAGCGUUAAUCGGAAUUACUGGGCGUAAAGCGUGCGCAGGCGGUUAUGUAAGACAGAUGUGAAAUCCCCGGGCUCAACCUGGGAACUGCAUUUGUGACUGCAUGGCUAGAGUACGGUAGAGGGGGAUGGAAUUCCGCGUGUAGCAGUGAAAUGCGUAGAUAUGCGGAGGAACACCGAUGGCGAAGGCAAUCCCCUGGACCUGUACUGACGCUCAUGCACGAAAGCGUGGGGAGCAAACAGGAUUAGAUACCCGCGUAGUCCCUGUCUCUUAUAC